CAGCACUGUGGUUGGUCAUCUUUGUGCAAGUGGUAGUGUCAUAAUGCAUUUUCAUUGUGUUCAGUUUGGUAUUCAUCUGCAAAAUCCCAUAAUAUAGCAAAAACUCUGUGAUACAGAAUUAGAUAUAUUUAACAACAACAAAAAACACAAUACAAUGAAGUUGCAAUAAGUGAAUCAUGAUAUAGCGAGGGACGACUGUACCCCACCAUAUCUACUGUUCUCCAAACUCAGUUUCCAUCUCCAAAGAGAAACUUUUGUUACUCCCUGUAAAUGUGGAAGAACCAGUGACGGGAAUUUCUCUCAUUCUCACCAAUCUGGAAGAACUAGUUACUAAGAUGGAGAUGAUGAAUAUAAUCUCGACUUCCGGUCAAGAUGGUGGCAUAGAAGCAGCGAAAGUUCAGACCUCAGAAACCCUUCCUUACCGAUUGCAAACAGAGUGCUCCUAGGCCACCAAAAUUCAAGUUGAACAACAGGAUAGACCUGGGGAAACCUGCUCCGGGACCUGGAUCAAAAGGUACUGCACCCCAAAAGCCAGAACCCUAGAUCACUCGGAUCUAAGGGGUAGACAGAAAGAAGGUCCCAGGACCCAUCCCCCCCAACCCAGAGUGCUGAGCCCAGGGCAGAAGUGGGAACCUCAGGGCUCUGAGGACUCACCUUGAAAGCAACCUGAGCCAGUCUCCGGGGCGCCCAACACAGACGGCAGGGAAACAUAGAGAGAAGGGGG
rnacentral:lncRNA from 1 species